AGACAAAGCAUUAGCCGUUGUUUUGGCAGGUGCUUUUCAAAAGGAACCACCAGCCUGUGCAGAUGAAUCGCCCACGUUGGAGCUGCGCUUGGGCGAGGAGCCGCCUGGUCACAUUCAGCAGCCAAGGUGCUUUGUAGGGUGGAGCUGCACUGUCCUGGCUGUGGGGAGCACGGUUCGGAUUCCGGUAUCAUUAACUAGGGGGAGGAUGAUGACAUUCUUAUUUUU